rnacentral:rRNA from 1 species
GGUAUGGCUGUUCGCCAUUUAAAGUGGUACGUGAGCUGGGUUUAAAACGUCGUGAGACAGUUUGGUCCCUAUCUGCCGUGGGCGUUGGAAAUUUGAAGGGGGCUGCUCCUAGUACGAGAGGACCGGAGUGGACGAACCUCUGGUGUACCGGUUGUCACGCCAGUGGCAUUGCCGGGUAGCUAAGUUCGGAAGAGAUAACCGCUGAAAGCA